rnacentral:lncRNA from 1 species
AACCUCCUAUAAAAUUCUACAUGUCCUAAAAAGGAUCGCACAUCUCUGACUGUUUUUGGUUGUGGCAAUUUAGAUAUCUCCAAGUAAUCAUUGUAUUCUGCUGUACGGCCAAGGCGGCGCACAUCUCUAACUGUUUUUGGUUGUGGCAAUUUAGAUAUAACUGCGAUUUUUGCUUUGUCAACUUCAAUUCCUUUAAUAGAAACAACAUGACCCAAAACAAUUCCAGAAGUAACCAUGUAGUGACAUUUUUCCCAAUUCAACACGAGCUCUUUUUCAAUACAUCUUUUUAAAACGUUCUCCAAAUUAUCAAGGCAAUCAUCAAAAGAAUUCCCAAACACAGUCAAAUCAUCCAUAAAGACCUCUAAACAAUGUUCAACCAUAUCACAAAAAAUGCUUAAC